rnacentral:rRNA from 1 species
GAGUUUGAUCAUGGCUCAGAGUGAACGCUGGCGGCGUGCCUAAUACAUGCAAGUCGAACGAUGAAGCUUCUAGCUUGCUAGAAGUGGAUUAGUGGCGCACGGGUGAGUAAUGCAUAGGUAACAUGCCCUUUAGUCUGGGAUAGCCACUGGAAACGGUGAUUAAUACUAGAUACUCCCUACGGGGGAAAGUUUUUCGCUAAAGGAUUGGCCUAUGUCCUAUCAGCUUGUUGGUGAGGUAAUGGCUCACCAAGGCUAUGACGGGUAUCCGGCCUGAGAGGGUGAUCGGACACACUGGAACUGAGACACGGUCCAGACUCCUACGGGAGGCAGCAGUAGGGAAUAUUGCUCAAUGGGGGAAACCCUGAAGCAGCAACGCCGCGUGGAGGAUGAAGGUUUUCGGAUUGUAAACUCCUUUUGUUAGAGAAGAUAAUGACGGUAUCUAACGAAUAAGCACCGGCUAACUCCGUGCCAGCAGCCGCGGUAAUACGGAGGGUGCAAGCGUUACUCGGAAUCACUGGGCGUAAAGAGCGCGUAGGCGGGGUAGCAAGUCAGAUGUGAAAUCCUAUGGCUUAACUAUAGAACUGCAUUUGAAACUGUUACUCUAGAGUAUGGGAGAGGUAGGUGGAAUUCUUGGUGUAGGGGUAAAAUCCGUAGAGAUCAAGAGGAAUACUCAUUGCGAAGGCGACCUGCUGGAACAUUACUGACGCUGAUGCGCGAAAGCGUGGGGAGCAAACAGGAUUAGAUACCCUGGUAGUCCACGCCCUAAACGAUGAAUGCUAGUUGUUGUGAGGCUUGUCCUUGCAGUAAUGCAGCUAACGCAUUAAGCAUUCCGCCUGGGGAGUACGGUCGCAAGAUUAAAACUCAAAGGAAUAGACGGGGACCCGCACAAGCGGUGGAGCAUGUGGUUUAAUUCGAAGAUACGCGAAGAACCUUACCUAGGCUUGACAUUGAUAGAAUCUACUAGAGAUAGUGGAGUGCCCUUUUAGGGAGCUUGAAAACAGGUGCUGCACGGCUGUCGUCAGCUCGUGUCGUGAGAUGUUGGGUUAAGUCCCGCAACGAGCGCAACCCUCGUCCUUAGUUGCUAGCAGUUUGGCUGAGCACUCUAAGGAGACUGCCUUCGUAAGGAGGAGGAAGGUGAGGAUGACGUCAAGUCAUCAUGGCCCUUACGCCUAGGGCUACACACGUGCUACAAUGGGGUGCACAAAGAGAAGCAAUACUGCGAAGUGGAGCCAAUCUCUAAAACAUCUCUCAGUUCGGAUUGUAGUCUGCAACUCGACUACAUGAAGCUGGAAUCGCUAGUAAUCGUGAAUCAGCCAUGUCACGGUGAAUACGUUCCCGGGUCUUGUACUCACCGCCCGUCACACCAUGGGAGUUGUAUUCGCCUUAAGUCGGAAUACUAAACUAGUUACCGCCCACGGCGGAUGCAGCGACUGGGGUGAAGUCGUAACAAGGU